rnacentral:rRNA from 1 species
GACGAGCGCUGGCGGCGUGCCUAAUACAUGCAAGUCGAGCGAAGCUGUUUUAACUGGUGCUUGCACCGACUUAAACAACUGAGUGGCGAACGGGUGAGUAACACGAGGGUAACCUGCCCCAAAGCGGGGGAUAACAUUUGGAAACAGAUGCUAAUACCGCAUAACCACAGAAACCACAUGGUUUCUGUGUCAAAGAUGGUUUCGGCUAUCACUUUGGGAUGGACCCGCGGCGUAUUAGCUAGUUGGUAAGGUAAUGGCUUACCAAGGCAAUGAUACGUAGCCGAACUGAGAGGUUGAUCGGCCACAUUGGGCCUGAGACACGGCCCAAACUCCUCCGGGAGGCAGCAGUAGGGAAUCUUCCACAAUGGACGAAAGUCUGAUGGAGCAACGCCGCGUGAGUGAAGAAGGUUUUCGGAUCGUAAAACUCUGUUGUCAGAGAAGAACGUGUGCGAGAGUAACUGCUCGUGCAGUGACGGUAUCUGGCCAGAAAGCCACGGCUAACUACGUGCCAGCCGCCGCAGUAA